UGGGGAAUCUUGCGCAAUGGACGAAAGUCUGACGCAGCGACGCCGCGUGGGUGAUGAAGGCCUUCGGGUUGUAAAGCCCUGUGGGGAGAGACGAAUAAGUGCCGCCUAAUACGUUGCAUGAUGACGGUAUCUCCUUAGCAAGCACCGGCUAACUCUGUGCCAGCAGCCGCGGUAAGACAGAGGGUGCAAACGUUGUUCGGAAUUACUGGGCGUAAAGCGUGUGUAGGCGGCCUCAUAAGUCGGAUGUGAAAGCCCCGGGCUCAACUCGGGAAGUGCACUCGAUACUGUGAGACUUGAGUAUCGGAGAGGUUGGUGGAAUUCUCGGUGUAGAGGUGAAAUUCGUAGAUAUCGAGAGGAACACCGGUGGCGAAAGCGGCCAACUGGACGAAUACUGACGCUGAGACACGAAAGCGUGGGGAGCAAACAGGAUUAGAUACCCCUGUAGUCC
rnacentral:rRNA from 1 species